ACAUUUCUUGGCCGCAUUUAGACAAGAUGCUCGAGUUCUUAUUUUUCCAGUCUGGUGGAUUGCAUUUGUUUGCAAGAACCUUGUUAAUAAUUGCUAAUAACACAGUAAAAUUACGAAGAACAACCAUCCUUCGAAAACCCUAUCCAGCUUACAAUUAAACAGCUUGUGAGGUCAUUAACAUGGUAAAGGUACAAGUUUC
rnacentral:lncRNA from 1 species